CCUUAAGUCUCACUUUCAGUAAAUAUUUCACGGCAUGAAUAUAAUGGAACAGAGGGAUAUGCAUGCAAGGUAGAAAAAAUGAGAGAUAAAAAGAGAAUGUGUUCAAGCGAGGGAGAGAGAGAGAGAGGGGGGGGGGGAGGGGGGGAAUUGCGAAGGAGGAUGAAGAGAGUGAUAUGAAGAAUAUUCACGAAAACAAAAUAUCGUCAAUCAUGAUUCAACAUUACAUAGAAAUAUCACUGAACUCGGCAACUUCAAACACUCCAUCUAUACUAUUCAAUGUGCAAUGUAAUGGUUGUAAAAGACACUUGUCGAUUGAAAACAUACACUGGAAAAAAAUAUGAAUAUAAUGUGAACAGCAAUUAACGCCCUCAAAUUAUUGAUGCGCUGCCAGAAAUUCAAGAGUAUGAAAAAAAUA